GUUUCCCCCUUUUUCCUUUGUCUCACCAUUUUGUUGUUCCUCUUCCUUUCUCUACUUCAGAUAACCAUAUAUAUAACACCAAGGGUACCAAAAUCGAACUCAGUGACAACAGGGGAUAAACCAUAAGGGGGGAAAUGCAAAAGAAAAAGAGAUGUGUUUACAUAGUACAUUA